CAGCUCUUCUUCCUCACGAAUUCCCACUACUUAAACCCUUGCCUCUUAAACCUUCUUUAUCUACACCAAAACCCAGUGAAGCAGAUGACGAUCUUUCCACCCUAUAUCGCCAUAAGCUUCACCUUCAUCGCCUUCCUCUUCCCAUCCAUAACCCAUGCCUUCGGUUCAGUCGCAACCGUAGCAAUCAUCUCCGGCACCGACACUGUUUGCGGCAUCCGCGACGGUCUCAAUUUGCAGAGUAUCGUCUGCUAUCAAGAUAGACAUAAUAAAACGAUUUCGAUGAAUCCAAACGUCUCAUUCGAAGUGAUCUCAGGUGGAAAUCAAUUCUUCUGUGGCCUAAUUUCAGGGACGUUACUGUUGGGGUAGACCAUGUUUGCAUUUUAGCUAACAGUACCGGAGUCGCAAGGUGCUGGGGAUUGACCACAAAUAGCUUCCCUUCGCCACCACAAGAUCAAAUCUUUUUGUCUAUUACAUCAGGUGAAGGGUUUUCUUGUGGGGUUCUGAGAAUCAACAGAAGGGUUCAAUGUUGGGGAACUAAUACCGAAUCGGCUUCAGAUUUAGAGUCCCAAUUUAAGGAUUUCUCAAUGCACAACUUAGUUGCAGGAAACUCACAUGCUUGUGGAUACAACAUGGAUGGGCAACUGAUUUGCAGAGGAAGAAAUGAUACUGGGCAAUUGGGGAUUAUUCAAGACAGAUUUACACCAUUCGAGUACUCUGUGCUUGCAUUGGGUAUAAUCCAUAGUUGUGGGAUUAGAUUAUGGGAUCAGAAAGUGGUGUGUUGGGGAGGAAAAGGAGAAUUUUCAAGUGAUUUGAUCAAAGAUAUUUCGUUUGAAACAAUUGUAGCUGGUACUGGAUUUACUUGUGGAGUUGCAACUUCCGAUUUCUCAUUGAUUUGCUGGGGACCUGUAUGGAAUAUGUGGAAUAAAGGGGUUGUUUAUGUUCCUAAUUUUCCGAAGAUUGUUCCAAGUCCUUGUGUUCAGGAGAAAUGUCCAUGCAAUUAUUAUGCCGGUUGUGCAUAUCAUUGUAGCAGUGGGUGUAUGUGCAUGAGAUGCUGUCCCUGGUGCUCAGGGGAUGCUGCUAGGCGUUAUCGCAAUACUGUAAGUCCAGGGAAGGUCGCUGGUUCGGCCGUCUUACCUUCUUGAAAUUUAUAAUAAUCACAGUAGUUAGUAUUGCAAUAAGAGUGGCCGUAUGGAUCCCUUAUUUGAUCCCUCAGUGGGUCUUACCUCGCCUAAUGGCCCUUGAAUUCAGCACAAGGGAAAAAAAAAAACCACUCUUUCAUUGAAAUAAUGAACUUCAUUGUUCAUGAAUUGAAAUUUCUUAUUUAUGAUAUCUUUCUCCUUCUAGAUUAGGACUCAGGCUAACUGUUUGGAGAAAUUACUUGUAUGUCAUGAUUGAUAUAUUAAGUUUGAGGUACCUCAUGCUCUAAAUGUAUUUGGGAUAGUAUUUUUUU